rnacentral:snoRNA from 1 species
NNNNNUAUAAUUUCAGUAAUCAAUUUCUCUAGUUCCUUAGUGGAGAAGUUUCUGUCAAUGUGUACAGCACCAGAAACCAAGAGGAGGUGGCAGCGGAGUGUUCUCUGCUGAACAUGAGGUUGACUCUUGGUGUUGCUUUGCCAUUGAUGAUGGUUCUUCUCUUCCUCCAGGGGAGAGGGAGAGAAUACAGUCUGAGUGGG